AUUGAACGCUGGCGGCAUGCUUUACACAUGCAAGUCGAACGGUAACAGGCCUUCGGGUGCUGACGAGUGGCGAACGGGUGAGUAAUGCAUCGGAACGUGCCCAGAGGUGGGGAUAACGCAGCGAAAGCUGUGCUAAUACCGCAUGUGAUCUGAGGAUGAAAGCGGGGGACCAGGCAGCAAUGUUUGGCCUCGCGCCUUUGGAGCGGCCGAUGUCAGAUUAGGUAGUUGGUGGGGUAAAGGCCUACCAAGCCGACGAUCUGUAGCUGGUCUGAGAGGACGACCAGCCACACUGGGACUGAGACACGGCCCAGACUCCUACGGGAGGCAGCAGUGGGGAAUUUUGGACAAUGGGCGCAAGCCUGAUCCAGCAAUGCCGCGUGCGGGAAGAAGGCCUUCGGGUUGUAAACCGCUUUUGUACGGAACGAAAAGGCUCUGGCUAAUACCUGGGGCUGAUGACGGUACCGUAAGAAUAAGCACCGGCUAACUACGUG
rnacentral:rRNA from 1 species